rnacentral:lncRNA from 1 species
CACCUGUGGGACUUUAUUAGAUAAACACACACCAGCUCCAGCCACAGGCUUGGACCGGCCAGCCGACAGUGCGGCCUCAGACACCCCUGCCAGGUUCCCUGGCCACGGCUGGAAGCAGUGUUCAGGCCGCCCCACUUCUGUCUAGUCCUGACAGGCCCCGGCUCACCUGGCUCUGCUGUGGGAGCCAAGAACAAAGACCCCGCCUGCCCCACUCCUUCUGCCCCAGGGGCUCAGCCAGCACCCACCCUCCCAGUGGCCUGGGCAGGGGCUGGGGUACAAAGCCUCACCCUCCCCCUGUGAGCCAGACGGAAAAUGCAUCUCCCAAGAGUGUCUCGAGGGGCAGGAAGGAGGCCUGCCCCUCCCUAGCCAGUGCCUACAACAGGGGGUGUCCUGAGGGGCAGAACGGCUGACCCCCACCACAAGACAUCCUGGGGGACAGAGGCCCUGGGCACAGCCCAGUCCCCACCCAGGAGCAUAUCCUAAAUGUGCAGGGGCCGGCAAGGCAGGGGUAGGAGGGUCCGCGGCCAGGCUCCAUGAAGUGCGAGUCUCGCCUUGGACUCGGGAUAGGGGGUGCUCAACCCCGCGCCCAGGCCCCCUCGCCUUCAGCCAGCGCAUCUUCUGUCGGUACUGCUGGACAGCAUCUUGCACACAGGCGUCCAUCAUGGCCUCGGUCAGGACCCCGUCCUUGGAGCCAUACGCCGUGGCCUAGUGGGGAGAGAGGGAGCUGAGGGAGGCCGCCAUGGGAACCCCCCACCCCAAAAUGCACGCCAGGGCCCCGAGGUGGGGAGGGGCCAAACCAGGGGCUCCAGGAUGGCCUGAGCGUGAAACACAGGCUUCCCGCA